ACUAAGCGUACACGGUGGAUGCCCUGGCAGUCAGAGGCGAUGAAGGACGUGCUAAUCUGCGAUAAGCGUCGGUGAGGUGAUAUGAACCGUUAUAACCGGCGAUUUCCGAAUGGGGAAACCCAGUGUGUUUCGACACACUAUCAUUAACUGAAUCCAUAGGUUAAUGAGGCGAACCGGGGGAACUGAAACAUCUAAGUACCCCGAGGAAAAGAAAUCAACCGAGAUUCCCCCAGUAGCGGCGAGCGAACGGGGAGGAGCCCAGAGCCUGAAUCAGUGUGUGUGUUAGUGGAAGCGUCUGGAAAGGCGCGCGAUACAGGGUGACAGCCCCGUACACAAAAAUGCACAUACUGUGAGCUCGAUGAGUAGGGCGGGACACGUGGUAUCCUGUCUGAAUAUGGGGGGACCAUCCUCCAAGGCUAAAUACUCCUGACUGACCGAUAGUGAACCAGUACCGUGAGGGAAAGGCGAAAAGAACCCCGGCGAGGGGAGUGAAAAAGAACCUGAAACCGUGUACGUACAAGCAGUGGGAGCCUCUUAAUGGGGUGACUGCGUACCUUUUGUAUAAUGGGUCAGCGACUUAUAUUCUGUAGCAAGGUUAACCGAAUAGGGGAGCCGAAGGGAAACCGAGUCUUAACUGGGCGUUAAGUUGCAGGGUAUAGACCCGAAACCCGGUGAUCUAGCCAUGGGCAGGUUGAAGGUUGGGUAACACUAACUGGAGGACCGAACCGACUAAUGUUGAAAAAUUAGCGGAUGACUUGUGGCUGGGGGUGAAAGGCCAAUCAAACCGGGAGAUAGCUGGUUCUCCCCGAAAGCUAUUUAGGUAGCGCCUCGUGAAUUCAUCUCCGGGGGUAGAGCACUGUUUCGGCAAGGGGGUCAUCCCGACUUACCAACCCGAUGCAAACUGCGAAUACCGGAGAAUGUUAUCACGGGAGACACACGGCGGGUGCUAACGUCCGUCGUGAAGAGGGAAACAACCCAGACCGCCAGCUAAGGUCCCAAAGUCAUGGUUAAGUGGGAAACGAUGUGGGAAGGCCCAGACAGCCAGGAUGUUGGCUUAGAAGCAGCCAUCAUUUAAAGAAAGCGUAAUAGCUCACUGGUCGAGUCGGCCUGCGCGGAAGAUGUAACGGGGCUAAACCAUGCACCGAAGCUGCGGCAGCGACACUAUGUGUUGUUGGGUAGGGGAGCGUUCUGUAAGCCUGUGAAGGUGUACUGUGAGGUAUGCUGGAGGUAUCAGAAGUGCGAAUGCUGACAUAAGUAACGAUAAAGCGGGUGAAAAGCCCGCUCGCCGGAAGACCAAGGGUUCCUGUCCAACGUUAAUCGGGGCAGGGUGAGUCGACCCCUAAGGCGAGGCCGAAAGGCGUAGUCGAUGGGAAACAGGUUAAUAUUCCUGUACUUGGUGUUACUGCGAAGGGGGGACGGAGAAGGCUAUGUUGGCCGGGCGACGGUUGUCCCGGUUUAAGCGUGUAGGCUGGUUUUCCAGGCAAAUCCGGAAAAUCAAGGCUGAGGCGUGAUGACGAGGCACUACGGUGCUGAAGCGACAAAUGCCCUGCUUCCAGGAAAAGCCUCUAAGCAUCAGGUAACAUCAAAUCGUACCCCAAACCGACACAGGUGGUCAGGUAGAGAAUACCAAGGCGCUUGAGAGAACUCGGGUGAAGGAACUAGGCAAAAUGGUGCCGUAACUUCGGGAGAAGGCACGCUGAUAUGUAGGUGAAGCGACUUGCUCGUGGAGCUGAAAUCAGUCGAAGAUACCAGCUGGCUGCAACUGUUUAUUAAAAACACAGCACUGUGCAAACACGAAAGUGGACGUAUACGGUGUGACGCCUGCCCGGUGCCGGAAGGUUAAUUGAUGGGGUUAGCGGUAACGCGAAGCUCUUGAUCGAAGCCCCGGUAAACGGCGGCCGUAACUAUAACGGUCCUAAGGUAGCGAAAUUCCUUGUCGGGUAAGUUCCGACCUGCACGAAUGGCGUAAUGAUGGCCAGGCUGUCUCCACCCGAGACUCAGUGAAAUUGAACUCGCUGUGAAGAUGCAGUGUACCCGCGGCAAGACGGAAAGACCCCGUGAACCUUUACUAUAGCUUGACACUGAACAUUGAGCCUUGAUGUGUAGGAUAGGUGGGAGGCUUUGAAGUGUGGACGCCAGUCUGCAUGGAGCCGACCUUGAAAUACCACCCUUUAAUGUUUGAUGUUCUAACGUGGGCCCCUUACCGGGGUUGCGGACAGUGUCUGGUGGGUAGUUUGACUGGGGCGGUCUCCUCCUAAAGAGUAACGGAGGAGCACGAAGGUUGGCUAAUCCUGGUCGGACAUCAGGAGGUUAGUGCAAUGGCAUAAGCCAGCUUGACUGCGAGCGUGACGGCGCGAGCAGGUGCGAAAGCAGGUCAUAGUGAUCCGGUGGUUCUGAAUGGAAGGGCCAUCGCUCAACGGAUAAAAGGUACUCCGGGGAUAACAGGCUGAUACCGCCCAAGAGUUCAUAUCGACGGCGGUGUUUGGCACCUCGAUGUCGGCUCAUCACAUCCUGGGGCUGAAGUAGGUCCCAAGGGUAUGGCUGUUCGCCAUUUAAAGUGGUACGCGAGCUGGGUUUAGAACGUCGUGAGACAGUUCGGUCCCUAUCUGCCGUGGGCGCUGGAGAACUGAGGGGGGCUGCUCCUAGUACGAGAGGACCGGAGUGGACGCAUCACUGGUGUUCGGGUUGUCAUGCCAAUGGCACUGCCCGGUAGCUAAAUGCGGAAGAGAUAAGUGCUGAAAGCAUCUAAGCACGAAACUUGCCCCGAGAUGAGUUCUCCCUGACUCCUUGAGAGUCCUGAAGGAACGUUGAAGACGACGACGUUGAUAGGCCGGGUGUGUAAGCGCAGCGAUGCGUUGAGCUAACCGGUACUAAUGAACCGUGAGGCUUAACC
rnacentral:rRNA from 2 species